CUCAAGCUGCUCAAGCUCCUUGGUAUUUAGAGGACCCAAAUCUUCCCCAAGCAGGUUCCUCUGAGAUCGCUGUAAGACCUCAACUCUAGCUUUAAGCUUCAGAUACUCCUGGUAGUUGCUCUGUGUCUCGUAGCCUGGUUGGCUGGCUUCCAGUCCACCAUAACUGCACUUCUGGUACCUUUCAAGUGUUCUCAUCAUGCUGACAGAUAAUAAAAGAAUCAUGAAAAAAAAAACUUAUUAUUCAAAU
rnacentral:misc_RNA from 1 species